CAGAAAUUUAGCAAGUUUGUUUUCUUAACUCUAGUCUUCCUCAAAAUGAAACUGACAGGUUACAUCAAGAAGUUAGAGAAAGGAGCUGUCAGAGCACAGGCUUGUUUGUUUUUCAUUCAGUCCCAGCAGAAGUUCAAGGACACUGUCCUCCAGCAGGAACAAGCAGGCUGAGGUGACUGCAAGAUCAUGAUGUGGCUCAACCCACCUCGUACUUGGUUAGCCUAAGUCCCAGAGACGCAUGUGUCAGAGUUAAAUACAUUUUUCGUCAUGGGAUAUGGACAGGUUAAGAUGAUUUAAACUAAGUGUGUCCCACGUGGUUAUACUAGCAGGGGCGACAGUGAAAACGUAACCACCAGCACAGCAAGGGCACCAACCACACUGAAGUGAUGCUGGCUGUGGGUAGCAGGCAGCUGUCCUGGUGUCCCUGCUGAAGGUACAACUGUUCCCUGGGCCAGGGGACAGCACUACUGGUACAACUAGCCACAUGAUGGGAAAUCACCUCUGAAGAAUACUGUAUAGAAGACACACAUUUUGCUUUUUCAAUAAAUGCCAGAAAACCUACUUUAUAUAAUUGCAAGCCUUUAAGAACCACCAUGGCUUGAUUCUCCAGCAACUUUUAUUGGUCGAAGGAUGUGGAAUGAUAUGCAGUACCUCUGGUUUAAUUCACAGGCUCAUUUAUAAACCAACUUAACAUUUCUUAUUUAAAAAAUUCUUGCUUUUGAAUAAACCGAUGUGUUAGAAUGGACAUGCUUCUAUCCCAUGCAAAAAGCUGUUGGAAAAUGAGCAGCCUGCAAAAUUAUCAUACAUGAGACACUGAAUGAAAAAUUCUUCCAGCGAGGUCCAAGAAGUAGCUCAGUCUGAGAAUUUGCUUCAUAUUCUGACUUUCAAAAUAAAAUAUUGAAGGCAUAAAAAAAGCAAAGUUAAAAUAUCUAAAACAGAUACAUUCUGAUAUUUUUAUCCAAGUCAUUUCCCAGAGUGUGUAGUGCUGCUGUGCUCUGUUGAUUAAAAUAAAACAACAAAAGCAGUAUAGGCAACUUCUAACUAAAAGGUAAUAAAAUUCACCAGUCUGCAGCUAAAAAGUCACAGUGAAAGAACACAUAGAAGGUGAAGAAUGCUUUUUAACCAUUCAGCCUUAAAUAAUACUGCAUUUCAACUUUAAAGAAAAGUUCUAUAUAUUUUUUGCUUUGACAUUUUAAAAUAUUAGAACAAGUCUUUGUAAUACAAUAUAUAUUAUACUUCAACAUACCUUAUGUGAAUUAAAAACAUGUCAACUUAACUUUAGUAAGGCAUUUAAGUAUUCAGCAAAAGCUAUACAGAAAUUUCUUCAUGAGUGGUAUCCCUUUAAUAGUAACUUGAUUUAGUGGGUUUCCUUAAAACGAACACAAAACAAAAAGAGACUUAAAAAAGAGGCAGUGAUGCUCUAACACUGAAUCCCAGAAAAAGCACAGUAGCAAACAAUGUGUUUUUUAGCAGGGAGACCAGAUAGGUCAGCAAAUUGGGAACAGAUGAGCAGCCCUAGGUUACACGGUCCGUCAAAUUCACCAAGAGCUGAGAGUAGAAUCCACUGCUUAGUACAUUCGGUUAAAAGUACUGGAAUCCUUAGUGCUGAUCACGGCGCCUAAAACAGAGCAGGUACUCAGGCUAGACUUCCUGAACUGACCUGGAUGAAGAUGCUUUAAAUCAAGAGAGAGGUGGACAGUGUUCAAGUUCAUGGAAAACUCCAUUUGUGAUUUUAUUUUGGUAUGUGAGUAACUACUAAUCUAGUAUUUCAAGUGUGGAUCAGUAAACACCUUGUGGACUGUGGUAAAGGGAAUUAAAUAAGCACUGCACUGGCCAUCAAUGCCAGAGUAGUUGAAUAUCAGGUCAUAAAUAUAAUCCACUCUGCAAUAUAACUGACAUGAUGAUCAAAGCACACCUCACAAUUGACAGAUUUUAGUUCAUAUGAUUAAAAAAAAUAAAAUAUUAGACUGCAUUUAGUACCACAUUCUACCAUAUCAUACAUCAGAUACCAUGCUGUGGAGACGUACUGGGCUAGCGCAUGUACAGUCCAUGGUCAGGAUUUAUCUGAAGAUGAAAGGGGAAAUAUGGAGAGAAAACUUUCACAUACAUGGAUACAUCUAAUGGUGGUGUCCACUGACUUAGAUUUAAUAUAUGGUUUGCUGUGCCACAUCUACUAGUUUGUGUAACAUCCCAAAUAAUUUUUUUUGCACAAAGAUCUACUUCUGUUUAAAGUAGAAAAAGACGGUGGUAAAAAAACUUCUUCUUCAAGCUCCAACAAUUGUGUCCCAAAUACCACUGUAUGAACACCUAAAAAAUAUUAAGAACAAUUUAGAAAUAUACAUAACUAUAAAUAUACAAACAAAUAUGACUUAAAGUCUCAAAGGGAAUUAGUGAAUACUCCCAACUUUUAUUUAAACUAACCUACUGCUAUUAGAUAAUGCUG
rnacentral:lncRNA from 1 species